rnacentral:lncRNA from 1 species
CUUAUCUAGCCUGGUGUGCCCACACAUCCACCUAAGCAUCCUCAUCUCCGCAACCUUCAUUCUCUGAACCUGGGAGUUCUUCACGGGCCAGCACUCCGCCCCAUACAACAUCGCAGGUCUAACCACGGCUCUGUAGCAACAAGAAAAGAAAAGAAAUGAUAAAAGAAGGCGGGGUAGUUCUUCCUCUUUGUGAGGUGCAGAGGCGCGUUUAGGGGGGUAAGCCCCGUUGCAAUCGUCUUCCUCAUCCGACCAUGCCCGACGAGGAUGUGAUUAUCCUUACCCUUUGACUUCAUUCGAGGGCAAUGCUAGCCAUGGGCAUAUAAGAUGAGGAAUCUCCUUUUGUCACUCGUAGCUAGAUAUUUUGGCCCUGCGCCUGUCGCAAGGUUCUACACCUUUGGUGGAGCAGCGUUGGAAUCGCAGCCCAAGCGACGUAUUCAUAGUUACCUGUACAAAGCGUUUGCAUCCUGUGUCACUCGAUGUAUCAGCCUAAGCUCGGGCGGGCCCCACAGGGGGAGCGAUUUGGUCGUUGUGGAGAUCCAUCAAGAACCUAUCAGAGAUUUGGACCGAGAGCGACGUUGGUCCGGAUUGUCCUAUUGGCUUUGGCCCAAUAUCGUCGGUAUAAUUUGGCCAAUCCACUUGCAC